UACGAAGGGGGGCUAGCGUUGUUCGGAAUUACUGGGCGUAAAGCGCGCGCAGGCGGUCCUUUAAGUCAGGGGUGAAAGCCCAGAGCUCAACUCUGGAACUGCCUUUGAAACUAGAGGACUUGGGUACGGGAGAGGUGAGUGGAAUUCCGAGUGUAGAGGUGAAAUUCGUAGAUAUUCGCAAGAACACCAGUGGCGAAGGCGGCUCACUGGCCCGAUACUGACGCUGAUGCACGAAAGCGUGGGGAGCAAACAGG
rnacentral:rRNA from 1 species